rnacentral:misc_RNA from 1 species
GAUGAAGAACGUAGCGAACGUGCGAAACGUAAUGUGAAUUGCAGAAUUCAGUGAAUCAUCGAAUCUUUGAACGCAUCUUGCGCUCCUUGGUAUUCCGAGGAGCAUGCCUGUUUGAGUGUCGUGAAAUACUCAAUUUUCAGACCUUUUGUGUUUGAAAUUGGAUUUGGGUGUUGUUGUGGAUCACGACUCAUCCUAAAUGCAUUAGCGAUCUGGCUUUGAUCACACACAAUGUGAUAAGAAAAGCAUUGUUUAGAUUGAAGUGAUGGUUGCUUCUAGCCGUCGAAAGACAAACGCAUAUAACUUGACCUCAAAUCAGGUAGGACUACCCGCUGAACUUAAGCAUAUCAAUAAGCGGAGGA